AAUGCUGAGCAGAGCUCGGCGCUCAACGGACCAAUCAUUGAGGGAGGAUCGGAAAACGUCAUCUAAUUUAUUCAGGACUAGUAAAUAUUCACAUUUGGAUUCGUUGUCAUUGAGGACCGAUGGACUGUGUUUGUUUACUCGCAGAUUCUCAAGGGAAGAUCUACAACAACGGCCAGGGAGGGCACCGUGCAGUACGUCACCAUCAUGCUGAAUGAGUGGGGUCAGUUCUUGACCACAGUGGUGCUGUCCGGGUCCGAGAGGUGUUACGUACGCAUGGCCAGAGGUCUGGUCGCCCGCUUUUGCCGGGCCAACGCUCCUGCUCCAAAGGGUGUGUAUGUGGAUAACAACUGUGGUCGUGACAAUGGAUUCAGAGCAGCUCAGAAGAGCAAGUUUGGCUGCAUGACGUACGCUCAGGCGGCACAGGUGACCGAGGACAGUCGCCUCCUCUACCUCCUCCUCCAAGAUGCUGAAGAACCGAGCACCAGCCAAUCAGCUCACCUCAGCCAGGUCACGGCUUCUUUGAAGGGACAGUAUAAGAGGAUUGCAGAGUUCGAGACGUCCCCAUCCUCGGCGGUCUUGCCAUUUCACUGCCCAACUUAAAUACCAAGUCCAUCUCAUCUUUCACUGCCAGGGAGGAGAAAAAUACUACGGGGCGACGGUACUGCCGAAGUGGAUGCCUCACCCGAAAGUUCUGUCGUAUGCACCGUUCCCGGAAGCUCCUGUGCUGCCAACAUCCCUCACAACACCAGACCGGCCUCAGGUCCAGUACAAGCAUGUUCAUCAUGAGGCUGGAUGGGCGUGGUGAGAAGCGGAGAUUAUUUUUGAAGAGCCAUAGCCUGUGCCUGCUGUGAACCGGCCCGUUCAGCCCAUGGCAUCAUCCUCCUCCACUCGGCCAAGGCCUGCUGCGUCCACCCACCUCCAGCCAAAGCCUGCUGCGCCCACCUAUGAUCACCCCCUAUGUCGACAGCACCCAUACUGCUGGUUCUCCCCGCACAGCCACAGGCUCCCUCCAUCCUGUUUCAUGGGCCAUCGUGCAGCCCGGAGCUUUGUACCUCCAGCACCAACAGUCAAGGGAUUCAUGCCUAACAAGUCUUUGCAGUCAUGUGGGGCUUG